UACGUAGGGGGCAAGCGUUGUCCGGAUUUAUUGGGCGUAAAGCGCACGCAGGCGGUCUUUUACGUUCUGAGUGACAGGUGGGGGCUUAACUCCCACAGGUCUUGGAAAACGGAAAGACUUGAGGACGAGAGAGGGAUGCGGAAUUCCAGGUGGAGCGGUGAAAUGCGUAGAUAUCUGGAGGAAUACCGGUGGCGAAGGCGGCAUCCUGGACCGGCAUUGACGCUGAGUGAGCGAAAGCCAGGGGAGCAAACGGG
rnacentral:rRNA from 1 species